CUACGGGGCGCUGCAGUAAGGAAUAUUGCGCAAUGGAGGCAACUCUGACGCAGCCAUGCCGCGUGCAGGAAGAAGGCCUUAUGGGUCGUAAACUGCUUUUAUUUAGGAAUAAACCCCCGAACGUGUUCGGGGCUGAAGGUACUAAACGAAUAAGCACCGGCUAACUCCGUGCCAGCAGCCGCGGUAAUAGGAGGGUGCAAGCGUUAUCCGGAUUUAUUGGGUUUAAAGGGUGCGCAGGCGGGCUAUUAAGUCAGUGGUGAAAUCCCGGGGCUCAACUCCGGAACUGCCAUUGAUACUGGUAGUCUUGAGUUUGGUUGAAGUGGGCGGAAUGUAGCAUGUAGCGGUGAAAUGCAUAGAUAUGCUACGGAACACCAAUCGCGAAGGCAGCUCACUAAGCCAAAACUGACGCUCAUGCACGAAAGCGUGGGGAUCAAACAGGAUUAGAUACCCGUGUAGUC
rnacentral:rRNA from 1 species